UACGUAGGGGGCAAGCGUUGUCCGGAUUUAUUGGGCGUAAAGAGCGUGUAGGCGGCCUGACAGGUCUGCUGUGAAAACUCGAGGCUCAACCUCGAGAUGUCGGCGGAAACCGUCUGGCUAGAGUCCGGAAGAGGCGAGUGGAAUUCCUGGUGUAGCGGUGGAAUGCGCAGAUAUCAGGAGGAACACCAAUAGCGAAGGCAGCUCGCUGGGACGGUACUGACGCUAAGGCGCGAAAGCGUGGGGAGCGAACAGG
rnacentral:rRNA from 1 species